GGUAGGAUGACUGAAGAGUUAGGUGAUAGACUGUAAAUCUAUUUAUGAGAAGGUUUCUCUCCUACCA
rnacentral:tRNA from 1 species